GAUGAAGAACGUAGCGAACUGCGAUAAGUAAUGUGAAUUGCAGAAUUCAGUGAAUCAUCGAGUCUUUGAACGCACAUUGCACCCCCUGGCAUUCCGGGGGGCAUGCCUGUCCGAGCGUCAUUGCUGCCCUUCAAGCCCGGCUUGUGUGUUGGGUCGUCGUCCCCCCCGGGGGACGGGCCCGAAAGGCAGCGGCGGCACCGCGUCCGGUCCUCGAGCGUAUGGGGCUUUGUCACCCGCUCGAUUAGGGCCGGCCGGGCGCCAGCCGGCGUCUCCAACCUUCUAUUUUACCAGGUUGACCUCGGAUCAGGUAGGGAUACCCGCUGAACUUAAGCAUAUCAAUAAGCGGAGGA
rnacentral:misc_RNA from 1 species